rnacentral:rRNA from 1 species
CAGUCGCCACGGUAAUACGUAGGGUGCAAGCGUUAAUCGGAAUUACUGGGCGUAAAGCGUGCGCAGGCGGUUCUAUAAGACAGAUGUGAAAUCCCCGGGCUCAACCUGGGAACUGCAUUUGUGACUGUAGAGCUGGAGUGCGGCAGAGGGGGAUGGAAUUCCGCGUGUAGCAGCGAAAUGCGCAGAUAUGCGGAGGAACACCGAUGGCGAAGGCAAUCCCCUGGGCCUGCUCUGACGCUCAUGCACGAAAGCGUGGGGAGCAAACAGGAUUAGAUACCCCCGUAGUCCCUGUCUUUAUACC